UGAAUGUGACGGUACCUGCAGAAGAAGCACCGGCUAACUACGUGCCAGCAGCCGCGGUAAUACGUAGGGUGCAAGCGUUGUCCGGAAUUAUUGGGCGUAAAGAGCUUGUAGGCGGUUUGUCGCGUCUGCUGUGAAAUCCCGGGGCUCAACCCCGAACUUGCAGUGGAUACGGGCAGACUAGAGUGUGGUAGGGGAGACUGGAAUUCCUGGUGUAGCGGUGAAAUGCGCAGAUAUCAGGAGGAACACCGAUGGCGAAGGCAGCUCUCUGGGCCAGUACUGACGCUGAGGAGCGCAAGCGUAAG
rnacentral:rRNA from 1 species